UACGAAGGGGGCUAGCGUUGCUCGGAAUCACUGGGCGUAAAGGGUGCGUAGGCGGGUCUUUAAGUCAGGGGUGAAAUCCUGGAGCUCAACUCCAGAACUGCCUUUGAUACUGAGGAUCUUGAGUCCGGGAGAGGUGAGUGGAACUGCGAGUGUAGAGGUGAAAUUCGUAGAUAUUCGCAAGAACACCAGUGGCGAAGGCGGCUUACUGGUCCGGUUCUGACGCUGAGGUGCGAAAGCGUGGGGAGCAAACAGG
rnacentral:rRNA from 1 species